AAGCACAGCGGGCCAGAGAGGGAGGCCCAGCUGAAAGCCUUGAGCAAAGCUCUCCGUGACCCAUCAGCACGUCUCACCUUUCUCAAGCAGGAGAACGGCAUGCACCUGCUGGUCAGUCUUCUCACUGGCUCCAAUGCACAGUGGCGUCUGCAGGCUGGUCGGUGUCUUCAUGAGCUGUCUCUUUCCGCCCACACCAGCGUGGCUGCAGCCUGUCUGCCUGCCACUCCCUACCUGCUCACCUACCUGUCCGGACAGAGCACCAAGUUCACUGAGCUGUGUCUCUACACACUGGGUAAUUUAUGUCCAGACAGUGCUGUACAAGACAAACU